rnacentral:rRNA from 1 species
UAGGGAAUCUUCCACAAUGGACGAAAGUCUGAUGGAGCAACGCCGCGUGAGCGAAGAAGGUUUCGGAUCGUAAAGCUCUGUUGCGAGGGAAGAACAAGUACGGGAGUAACUGCCCGUACCUUGACGGUACCUCGUCAGAAAGCCACGGCUAACUACGUGCCAGCAGCCGCGGUAAUACGUAGGUGGCAAGCGUUGUCCGGAAUUAUUGGGCGUAAAGCGCGCGCAGGCGGUCCUUUAAGUCUGAUGUGAAAGCCCACGGCUCAACCGUGGAGGGUCAUUGGAAACUGGAGGACUUGAGUACAGAAGAGGAAAGCGGAAUUCCACGUGUAGCGGUGAAAUGCGUAGAGAUGUGGAGGAACACCAGUGGCGAAGGCGGCUUUCUGGUCUGUAACUGACGCUGAGGCGCGAAAGCGUGGGGAGCAAACAGG